ASYYYRGCWGCCRYGRMYKCGWWMUUGACCGUGACGGCACGUGAGUGGUGAGAUAACCCAGUGCGCURGCGGGCUCCCUGCUUAAGUGCGGCCGACCGCGAGUGCGAUGGGAUAUGCUUCGUUCGUGAAAUCCCAAAAUCAUCGGGACUCCGCACGAUGCGGAGGGCAUAUUCGGUGGGUUGYAUCGCAUAGUCGGCRCGCGGCAACUUGGUGACCCUACGUUAGUAACGUUAUGUCCUCCUCCUCUCUCUCGCCCGCUCCCCUCGGACGGGYGGGAAGUGAGAAGCGRCCUCUUACGACGUCCCGUGCGUCCUCGGCGGCGCUCGCAGUCGCACGUAUGCGUACGUGCUACCUGCUUCGUCUGUCCGUCUGGRCCUCGGGACGGUUGAGUGCUUACGGAUGCGGUGAAUCGGAUGGGGGGUCGGGUGGGCGCACGCUGCUGCCGACCCGACGAACGGAAGGUGUUUGCGCACGCCGCGAGCGGGCAAACGAACGGAACGGAAYGAACGACUGCCGGCGGGCAUGCGUGCGUCGUYGUCGAUAGGCUGGCUGCGCCGUCCUGUCCGCGGGCGUCGUCUCGAAGGACUCGCUACCG
rnacentral:misc_RNA from 1 species